UACGGGGGGGGGCAAGCGUUGUUCGGAAUUACUGGGCGUAAAGGGCUCGUAGGUGGCCAACUAAGUCAGACGUGAAAUCCCCAGGCUUAACCUGGGAACUGCAUUCGAGACUGCAUUGCUAGAGUAUGGGAGAGGGAAGUGGAAUUUCCGGUGUAGCGGUGAAAUGCGUAGAUAUCGGAAGGAACAUCAGUGGCGAAAGCGACUUCCUGGACCAAUACUGACGCUCAUGUGCGAAAGCGUGGGGAGCAAACAGG
rnacentral:rRNA from 1 species